rnacentral:lncRNA from 1 species
ACUCAACUUAUGAACUGUGUUUGUGACGUAGUCUUGCAACCGAGUGGACGGAUACUUGACACGACAAUCGCGCCCCAAAGAUUCAUUUUCAUUCUCGUCGUGACUGGUUUGAGAUUGUAUAUGUAUGGGGUCUGUUACUGCAUUAGUACUUUCUUCACCAUCCUCUAUAGCAGGAUCCCCCCUAUUUUCAUGUAUGAUUUCUAUUGAUGACUCAUUUUGAUAU